rnacentral:rRNA from 1 species
GACGAACGCUGGCGGCGUGCUUAACACAUGCAAGUCGAACGAAGUGGCGAACGGGUGAGUAAUACGUGGGUAACCUGCCCUCCUUUUUGGGAUAAGCCUUGGAAACGGGGUCUAAUACCGACUAAGGGGGGUUGGGCUCGCGGCCUGUCAGCUUGUUGGUGGGGUGAUGGCCUACCAAGGCGGUGACGGGUAGCGGGACUGAGAGGUUGAACGGACGCAAUGGGACUGAGAGACGGCACAGACUCCUAGGGGAGACAGGAGGGGGGAAUAUUGGGGAAUGGGCGCAAGCCUGACGCAGCAACGCGGGGUGAAGGAAGACGGUCUUCGGAUUGUAAACUUCUUUGGACAGGGACGCGGUACCUGUAGAAUAAGCCACGGCUAACUACGUGCCAGCAGCCGCGGUAAUAC